rnacentral:rRNA from 1 species
GACGAACGCUGGCGGCGUGCCUAAUACAUGCAAGUGGAACGCUGAAGAGAGGAGCUUGCUCUUCUUGGAUGAGUUGCGAACGGGUGAGUAACGCGUAGGUAACCUGCCUUGUAGCGGGGGAUAACUAUUGGAAACGAUAGCUAAUACCGCAUAACAAUGGAUGACACAUGUCAUUUAUUUGAAAGGGGCAAUUGCUCCACUACAAGAUGGACCUGCGUUGUAUUAGCUAGUAGGUGAGGUAAUGGCUCACCUAGGCGACGAUACAUAGCCGACCUGAGAGGGUGAUCGGCCACACUGGGACUGAGACACGGCCCAGACGCCUACGGGAGGCAGCAGUAGGGAAUCUUCGGCAAUGGGGGCAACCCUGACCGAGCAACGCCGCGUGAGUGAAGAAGGUUUUCGGAUCGUAAAGCUCUGUUGUAAGUCAAGAACGGGUGUGAGAGUGGAAAGUUCACACUGUGACGGUAGCUUACCAGAAAGGGACGGCUAACUACGUG